GCUUGACCCGCCCGGUUCCCGGGUUGGCUUCUGUUCUACCGAUUUGUGGUCUUUGGGGCACUCAUACUCUUCUCUUCGGAGGCUGUAUUGUUAUUUGUUUUAUAGCUCAUAAAAACGAGACCCAGAGGUAACCCUUCCCCAGAAAGAAAGACCACAGAUUUUGCGGUACAUUGUGGAAAUUCGUGGUAGCAGGGAAAGAUUAUUUAAACAAAAUACAAGAAGUUUUAAAGUGGGAGACAGCCCACAGGCAUACCAAGGACAAAGAUUA
rnacentral:lncRNA from 1 species